rnacentral:rRNA from 1 species
CAGUCGCCGCGGUAAUACGUAGGGUGCGAGCGUUAAUCGGAAUUACUGGGCGUAAAGCGUGCGCAGGCGGUUCGUUAAGACAGAUGUGAAAUCCCCGGGCUUAACCUGGGAACUGCAUUUGUGACUGGCGAGCUAGAGUAUGGCAGAGGGGGGUAGAAUUCCACGUGUAGCAGUGAAAUGCGUAGAGAUGUGGAGGAAUACCGAUGGCGGAGGCAGCCCCCUGGGCCAAUACUGACGCUCAUGCACGAAAGCGUGGGGAGCAAACAGGAUUAGAUACCCCGGUAGUCCCUGUCUCUUAUAC